rnacentral:rRNA from 1 species
UACGUAGGGGCAAGCGUUGUCCGGAAUCAUUGGGCGUAAGCGCGCGUAGGCGGCCCGGUAAGUCCGCUCUGAAAGUCCAGGGCUUAACCCUGGAAAGCGGGUGGAUACUGCCGGGCUAGAAUCCGGAAGAGGCGAGUGGAAUUCCUGGUGUAGCGGGUGGAAUGCGGCAGAUAUCAGGAGGAACACCAAUGGCGAAGGCAGCUCGCUGGGACGUUACUGACGCUGAGACGCGAAGCG